ACCGGUCCUCGGGUCUCCUCGAUAGGUCCCCAUCCCACCUGUAGGGAUGUACGACAAGGGCCGCACGUUCUCCGUGGGCGUACAGCCUGCUAGCUCGCAGGCUACACCUAGUGGGUUGUGGAGCAGCUCGGGUGACUUGAGUCGCCCGCCUGUGAGUGCCUCCCCUCCAUCUGCGACCUCAAACAUUCCAUUUUCAUCUUCUAGGAUCAAUCCAAAGGCCCACAACCCAUCAUCUUUCAUGCUUUCUUAGGCCGGUUGUCUUCGCAACCCAUAAGGCUUCCUAAUCUUGAUGGCAUUGACGAUCCAUCUUACUCGAUCUAAACUUGCAUGAAUUGGAUCCUUGGGAUUCAUAGGAUUGGGCCUUAUCGUUGAAUCUUGACUCUACUUCCUUGGUCCAGGCUUUUUCCUAUCUUUAUCUUUGGGUUGGGCCCAAUUCUAAUGGUUACUUAUCUGGUAACUAAAAUGCCCUCCUACGGUCACACAACUAGCCGUUGUGUUUACACUAGAAAAACUUUGUUCCUAUUUGUUGGGAACUAAGGUUAUUGUGUUUUCUUAUCACAGGAUAUUAAAAUACCUACUGAAGAAGAAAGAUGCCAAAUCAAGACUUAUCUAAUGGAUUCUACUGCUUUAACGGAGAAAAGAUGCAUGCAAAACUUGAUCACUGAUCAUCUCAGUCGUCUGCCACAGGUGAAGAGUCUGUGCC
rnacentral:lncRNA from 1 species